UACGAGGGAUGCAAGCGUUAUCCGGAAUUAUUGGGCGUAAAGCGUUCGUAGGUGGCUACAUAAGUCAGUUUUCAAAGAGUCCGGCUCAACCGGAUAAAGGGGAUUGAAACUGUGUGGCUAGAGUUAGGUAGGGGUAAGAGGAAUUCCUAGUGUAGCGGUGAAAUGCGUAGAUAUUAGGAAGAACACCAGUGGCGAAAGCGUCUUACUGGGCCAUAACUGACACUGAGGGACGAAAGCUAGGGGAGCGAAAGGG
rnacentral:rRNA from 1 species